AUCCUGAGGAGUGGCUGACAUCAGGUUAUGAACAUCCAGAGCAGGCAGGCCAGUCUUUCUUACACAAGUAUCAUGGAGGGGAAAACUGGGAUUUCCUGCAGAAGAAAAAGGGACGAGGGGGUCUAAGAAGCUUCCCUUGGCACCUGAAAGAGGUUUCACAGAAAAGUCUGGAAAACUUGAUAGAGAAGAGGGUGCCAAGCCAGAAGUGAAAUUAAGAGAGUAUCCCUGUUUUGAACAUUGAACUAUCGCUUAGAACCUCAUUAAGAGUUCUUUUCUUAUAACAUUAUUUUAGCAGGCACUGUUAAUGUCUAAAAAGCUUACUGUGAAUGCUGCUGAAAGGAAGUGGUGGCGUUUCACUCUAUCUCUCAUUAAGCUGAUAAUUGGUCUGGAUUUGAGCUGGAACCAUUUUUUUGUGUGUGUUCUAUCUGGAUGACCCAAGACUAAGAGCAAGUUGUAGCCUAGUUAUGUGUUUCCUUCCCGAAGGAAAAAACUGGGCAAAUAGACACAAUUACGUAAGGUUGUUAAUGAUUUCGUGAGUUGGUGGUUGAUAUUGGGAAGAGGGUGUAGGAAUGAGCCAUUAAACAAUUAGAACAAAACACAAGUAGAGUGUCUUAAGGCAAGGGAAAAAAGAUUAUGAUGCCUCUAGGGCACUGUUGUUGCUUGCUGCUAUUCAUGACCGCAGGCAAAAUAAUUUUCACCUGUCAUCAUGUUGGUACUGUGAUAAACUGAGAGGAUGAUUCGAGCUAAUUAAAAAGAAAACAGUGUAAGGUCAAUAUAACCUGGAGAGAGAAAAGAAAAACAAAUCGUAAAACUUAAUUGGGCCCCUAUAAAGACAUAAAACCAGUUACCUCCCUUUUACCUUGUGUAAGAUUUAUAGUGAAGGAAUUUUAUUUAUUUAGGUAGAUAAUAACACCUUUCAAAAAUUUUAUAACUUUGUAUAGAUAACAAGCAAACAUUUGCUGAAUGUCUGACUUGACAAUGUAUUAUGGAUGCUUAUAGAUAACAUUCUUGUUUAAGAAAAACAUCUGUUGAAAGUCUGACUUAACAAUGUGUAAUGUUUAUGCUUAUGUGUAAUGAAUAUUCAUGAAGUAGAUGGAAAUAAAUGUAGAACAACUGUCUUCUUUGGGUGUGACAGGCGUUGGGAGUUGUUAAAACCCCUCCCUGAUCACCCAGCGCUGAAUUUGCUUUUAUCAUAUAAUAAAUUCUAAUUGGAAA